rnacentral:rRNA from 1 species
UGGGCAACCUGCCCCUCUCUCUGGGAUAACCCCGGGGAAACCGGAGCUAAUACCGGAUACUCCGGCUGGAUCGCAUGGUCCGGCCGGGAAAGGUCCGCCGGAGAGGGAUGGGCCCGCGGCCUAUCAGCUUGUUGGUGGGGUCAUGGCUCACCAAGGCGACGACGGGUAGCUGGUCUGAGAGGACGACCAGCCACACUGGAACUGAGAUACGGUCCAGACUCCUACGGGAGCA